UUAAUAAAUAACAGGCUGAAUUCUUCUGUUGAUUGAAAAGUGUCAUUCAACAAUCAGAAAUUAUUCAGAAAUACAGCCAGUAUCGGGUGGUUCACAUUAUUUGAAGCGUUUGACCUUUAAAAGCAGGAACGUAAACAAACGCCUAACAAAUGAAAAGAUCUUCAUCUCGGUUUUCCUCUCAAUGCAGAUAAAGCGCAGUUCCCAUAAAAGCUCUCGAGCUAAAUAUAUACUGUAGAUACCUGUGAGCUGCACUGAUCCUGCCUAGAGACAGAGCUGUAUCACUUUCCCCUCAUAUUCAACAGCAAAUAUAACUUUAUUUGCAACAUGAAACCUACCAAAAGCAAAUAUACGCAAACCUUCCAGCUGCGGAAUAUCGUUCUGAAUCUGGGAACCAUUGCAAAUGAACGAGAUCCAGUGUUUGACCAAAUGACAAGGCUGAGAUUGAAAAUGCUGGAAAAGAGACUGGAGAAUGAGAGAAAUGACAACAUUGAACGAGAGGGUUCAGCACUUUCCAUAAGAAGUUAUGAUGGUCAGGCAGAUGCAUUACACAGCGCUCUGAGACAGAAGAGAAACCUCCUACAGAGACUGAGGGAACAGCAUAUGAUGGAGAAUCUGGGAAGGCCACACACUUGGGGUGGAUCUCAUAGGCAAUACCAUUAUGAACCUCUUCUUGGGCCACUCCAGCCUGUGCCUCCCAUCCAUGUCUACCAAAGUGGACCACCUGCUCCUCUUCCUCCUCCUGUCCCUCAGCCCCCUCAAAUCAUUCAACACACUGUUCCUCAGCAGCCAGCCACCAUUAUCCAGCAGUUACCACAGCAACAGCCUCUCAUAGCACAAAUCUCACCCCCACAAACCUUUCCCUACAGAUCAGGAAGUAUUAAAGAAGAUAUGGUGGAGUUGAUGCUCAUGCAGAAUGCUCAGAUGCACCAGAUCAUCAUGCACAACAUGAUGCUGAAGGCUCUUCCACCAAUGGCUGUGUCCCCAGGUGGAAAUCAUACCACACCUCACAUAGCCUCACAUUCAGGGCAGGAACUUCAUUCAACAGUGAGAGGAGGGACUGUUCAUCAUCACCAUCACUACGGCUCCCAUGGACCACCUCUCCCUCCAAUUGGCUACUCUGUUUGGCCCUCUACAAUGUCAGCAGGACAAGGCGGGACUUAUCAGCCAGCAGUGCAGCGUGUUAUUGGUCCUGUAACUCUGCCUCCCUUAAACACGUAAGAGUCAACAGUGUAACUAUGAAUAAUAAUGAAUACAUAUUAAAAUGGAUCAGAAAUUCUUUGGGAACUGUUGCUUAAUGGGAAUUGAUGCAAACUCCAGAACUCCACUUGGACUCUGAGCCAAAUUGCCAAGUGCAGACGGAUCCUGCUUCAUCUUCAAAGAUUGACACAUUGACAUAAAUGUUUUUUUAUAUUUAAUUUACAAUUUUCAAUACAGCAGGCAUUGUUUUCCUAGGGAUUUAUUGUGAUUUUAAUUUGUUAUAGCCUAAUAAUUGAAGGAUUUAUUAAAUGUUAUUACAGUGAUAUUUUAAAAGAGCUUCAAUUGUGUUACUCAGUUUAAAAAAAAAGGUUAAAAUCACUGGUAUGUAGUUUUCGUGGCUGUUCUGCCAUACAACACACUUUUAAAAUACAAUCCUGUAUUUGCAGUGCAGUGCAGUCAUACUAGGGUUACUUGUUGCCAAAGUCAUACAGGCAGUACAGUGUGUAAUGCUGUCUUGCGCAACACAAAGCUCAUAAGUCUGGCUAACUGAGGGUAUGUCAUGUCAAGCAAUGAUGCUGAUGUUUAAAAUACUACACACGCCUUCUCUGCUGUAAACAAGGUUUAACAAAUAUAGAACAUUUAACAGGUUAAAGCGCAUCCACUCGAUAUUUUUCUUCCGCUUUGAGACAUGUGAUGCUCAGUGGCGCCUCUGAUUGGUUACAUUAUUUUCCUGUCAAAUGUUUAGCAGUACAGCUAAUCAGUUUACUUAUAUAUAUAUAUAUCACAAAUUCACGGGAUGUACGAAUAAAAAAUGUAAGUUAUUAAAUUGUGUGCCGUUUUUAAUAAAACGUCGUUUCGUUUGUAACAGAGGCCGCAUCCUUCGAAGGCUCUGUAGCGCCGUAACUGGCGGUGUGAGUGGAGAGUGGGAGGGCCUAGCCGGUGAGCAGUUGUGUGGGGGUGUCGCAGUUGACAAAUCAGUGACGCACUAAGCGUAACUGCUACGGAAGGCUAUUGAAACACGAGUGGCUGAAUUUCUCGGGUACAAAGUCUUCAGUAUAGAGACCUGGCACUAAUAAACCAAACAGAGUCUUAUUCAUCGUGGUGGUUUGUGAUGUAUGAAUGGAUAGUUGACGGAUUAUCAUCGCUGUUCGUGCCCUUUUCUGGUGAGAAAUCCGCAGCCUGGCCUAGUGAG